rnacentral:misc_RNA from 1 species
AAAUUAUUGACAGUGCACUACAAACAUAAGAUUACAUACUGGUUUAGCAUUCCCACCCAAUAAAAGACCAAAUAAUCAGAUGUUAUAUUUUUAUCAAGUUCUGAUCACUUCCCUCUCCUUAAGCAGAUGAUUAUCAAAAAAAUCAACAGCUUUACAACACACAAUGAUCAAUAACAAGUAGAGACAGCUCAUAGAUAAUAGUUUUUACCAAGAUCUAUAUAUCCAUAUGCUUAAUCAAACCCAUUUCCCACUGUUAAUCAUCCAUCCAUAAUGAAGAAUAGAAAAAAUUGAAAGAGAAAGCAUUUUGACAUACCUUUCUGCUGCAAAGAGAAGAGCAGGAACGAUGAAAGGUGGGAGACACUCUCUAGAGCAUAGAGGAGCAGAAAUGACAGAGAUGGGAAUCGAUUUUUCUAUUGAAGUAAUUUAAGGGUAUUGAAGUCAUUUCCACGUAAACAACAACAAUUUCCCUCCAUUCCCCUCCAAUUUGGAGGGAAAUCGUUUGGGGCAGAUGCAAUGGGUGGAGAAAUACGUUUUCUCCUCCUUUCUCCCCCUUUCUAUCUUCAAAUUGCUGUCCAAACAAGAAAAUUGAUGGAAACUAAAUUUCAUUUCUUUUCUCUUCUUCCCAUUACUCUCAAUCCAAACAUAGGGUUAAAGUAAAAUAUAAUUGUGCCUGUUUUAUUUUUGGGUCAGUGGAAGAGGGUUGGAGAUGGAA